ensembl:lncRNA
CACAAAUCUAACCACGGCAACCCUUAGGAGGAAGAGCAAUUGCUGCCCUCUGCGCCAGCAGGACUGGGUGGCCCAAAGAAUCAGCAAAUGAGAGGUGGUAGUGGCUCUCCUGGUGUGGUUGGUGACCCUGGACAACCUUGCCAUCAAGUUAUUGGACAAAGACUGGACACUCUGGGGAUUCAUUCUUCAGAUAGAGAGGAUGUGUGCGGCCUUUGAGACUCAUCCAAGAUUUAUUUAUUUCAUGUAUGUGAGCACACUGUCACUGUCUUCAGACACACCAGAAGAGGACAUCGGAUCCCACUACAGGUGGUUGUGAGCCACCAUGCUGUUUCUGGGAUUUGAAC